GUGGGGAAUCUUGCGCAAUGGGCGAAAGCCUGACGCAGCCAUGCCGCGUGAAUGAUGAAGGUCUUAGGAUUGUAAAAUUCUUUCACCGGGGACGAUAAUGACGGUACCCGGAGAAGAAGCCCCGGCUAACUUCGUGCCAGCAGCCGCGGUAAUACGAAGGGGGCUAGCGUUGCUCGGAAUUACUGGGCGUAAAGGGCGCGUAGGCGGACAGUUUAGUCAGAGGUGAAAGCCCAGGGCUCAACCUUGGAAUUGCCUUUGAUACUGGCUGUCUUGAGUACGGGAGAGGUGAGUGGAACUCCGAGUGUAGAGGUGAAAUUCGUAGAUAUUCGGAAGAACACCAGUGGCGAAGGCGACUCACUGGCCCAAUACUGACGCUGAGGCGCGAAAGCGUGGGGAGCAAACAGGAUUAGAUACCCGUGUAGUCC
rnacentral:rRNA from 1 species